UACGUAGGGGGCAAGCGUUGUCCGGAAUCAUUGGGCGUAAAGCGCGUGUAGGCGGUUCGAUAAGUCGGCUGUGAAAGUCCAGGGCUCAACCCUGGGAUGCCGGUCGAAACUGUCGGACUAGAGUUCGGAAGAGGCGAGUGGAAUUCCCGGUGUAGCGGUGAAAUGCGCAGAUAUCGGGAGGAACACCAAUGGCGAAGGCAGCUCGCUGGGACGUUACUGACGCUGAGACGCGAAAGCGUGGGGAGCAAACAGG
rnacentral:rRNA from 1 species